rnacentral:rRNA from 1 species
UACGUAGGUGGCGAGCGUUGUUCGGAUUUACUGGGCGUAAAGGGCGCGUAGGCGGCCUGUCAAGUCAACUGUGAAAUCUCCGGGCUUAACUCGGAACGGUCAGUUGAUACUGUCAGGCUAGAGUGCAGAAAGGGCAAUCGGAAUUCUUGGUGUAGCGGUGAAAUGCGUAGAUAUCAAGAGGAACACCUGAGGCGAAGGCGGGUUGCUAGGCUGACACUGACGCUGAGGCGCGAAAGCCAGGGGAGCAAACGGG